rnacentral:rRNA from 1 species
CAGUAGCCACGGUAAAACGAAGGGGGCUAGCGUUGCUCGGAAUCACUGGGCGUAAAGGGUGCGUAGGCGGGUCUUUAAGUCAGGGGUGAAAUCCUGGAGCUCAACUCCAGAACUGCCUUUGAUACUGAAGAUCUUGAGUUCGGGAGAGGUGAGUGGAACUGCGAGUGUAGAGGUGAAAUUCGUAGAUAUUCGCAAGAACACCAGUGGCGGAGGCGGCUCACUGGCCCGAUACUGACGCUGAGGCACGAAAGCGUGGGGAGCAAACAGGAUUAGAUACCCCUGUAGUCCCUGUCUCUUAUAA